UGCAAAAGGAGGCAAGAUGCAAACAAAAAAAAUUGAAAGUAGACCCUGACCAGUAACAUUUUGAUCUACUACAGGGGAAUUGCUCCCAUCUAGUUCGGUACCUUCUGCAUUCUUCCCACCUUCCUGACAAACUGCAAGACACCAAUUCACCUUCCCACAUAUUCCCGUGUAUUUUUCCCUAGCUGUUUCUCCACUUCUCACUCAUAAUUCCCUGUUAUCUCUUCUUGACCUAUCCAAUAUCUGGCUUAGAUGAACUAUUCCUCAUGCUCCAUCUAAUAUGCUAGCAAAUCCAACUUUGCUGACAAAUCCUGCUAAACUUUCACACCUCCCCACCCACCCUCCAACAAAUUAUAAGGGACUGAUGGAAUUCAACAUUUAUUAAAACAAAAGAGACAGAAGCUUAGCUUACUUGAAGGGUCACAGUACAACUGCAGUCAACAGCAGCAGUGCUUGUGCUGUUUGAACCCGACCUCGCUGGUCUUAGGCCACUACACAAACAACAAUGCACUGAUAAAACAGUUCGUCACUUUAUUCUGCCUUAAACUGCCCCAGUUUUAUUGAUAUUAUUUCCGUUGAUACUAGUGACACGUGGCAAGUGUACUAAUUAAAUGAUUCUGCAUUACAAAAAAAAUUAGGCUUCCCACACAAUGCAUUAUUUUCAACUUAAAAUGAAUGGUGAUCCUCCCUCCUCCUCUGACAUUUGGUAUUUGCCAAAAAUAACUGCACAGUUAUAAGUUGUACACAAGAAACAGAAGGUAACAUUCAAAGUUAUUUUCUGUGAUUUUUACUUACCAUGUCAAACCUAGCAAUUACAACUUAUGGCUCAUUUUGGGUAUCUGAGCAGCCAAAGCUGCUGCAUUAGUCAACUCACAGUAACUGAAGAAGCAUAUGCCCAGCCUGGGCAAAUAAACAAGAUGAAAAAUAAUUAAGUGCUAUGACUUUCCUUCAGCUUUCUCUGAGAUAGAUCACGCUCAGUCCAUUAAUUCAUCGUUUAACAAGUGUGUUUCAUGUAGCUUGUUUUGUCUGGCUCUUGGUUAGAAAUCCACAUACAGGGCAUUUUUUUCUUCUUUUUAAAACAAAAUACUUGCUGUAUGAAACACCAGGAGGUAAAGUGGAAGUGCAAGAGAAGCUGAGGCUAUGCUGAAGCCAGGCAUAACCACAAUGAAUUAGCAACGUGGUGCUGCCCCAGAAGACCCCACUGGUCAGUUAAAAGGACUCCGUAAGAUGUUGACAUUUUUGUUGCUCAGAAGGAAAGCAAAGAGCCAAUAGAGUUGCUCUCAAUUUGUUCCAGUGCAAGCAAAACAAACUCAUCACCAUCAAACUCACAUCAUUCCACCAUUAGCACGAACACUAUUAGCACUAAUUUUGACUAAAUUCUGGUUCAUUUGCCUCCACAUUGCUAAGUCUUGUCUGCCCAUCCAACCAUCCCUAGCUCCUGCACUCUUCCAGGUGAUCUCUGUUGCUGGAUGUCCUCACAACUACACUCCUCAAACACGAUUACUUUCACCAAGCCUUUCUGACCAGUCAGGACACUCCAAGCUCCCUGCAACAGGAAGCUGUGGAUGUCAGAAGGUUAUAUGGAAUUAGAUCCUGCCCAAAACUGUGGAAAAGAAACCCGCUGAGUGCUAUUAAAUACAAACAUCAGGGCUGGCUCAAGAAGCCUGUGAGUCACACAUGGCUGGAGGUUGGGAAUGUACCCAGGGGAGUCCCGUAGAUACUUGCCCUGAGUUUAUUCUCCUUCAAGCACCUUUGUUGGCCAAUGCUGGAAAAGGCAUGCUGAGCCUGAAGAACAUUUUGCCAGGGACAGAACAGCCAGUUUUCACAGGAUACACAAUGUUUAAGCUUGCUUCUUCUACAAAGGAGUAGCCACGAAGCACAGAUCUGGUCCAUGAGAAUUUAUUCCACCAAUUAAGAACAGCAGACCUGAACAGCAAGAAAAAUCAAACAGAAUGCUGGAUAGACAUGGACUGAGAGGAAAUGCUUUAUGUUGGAACAAAAGAAGCGUUGUUGGCAAGAACAAACAAGUACCAACUGUUUGUAUACUGACACAACAUCCAAGAUUUCUGGAAUUUCUGAAUUCCUGCCUGUUUGGGCCUGCAAAUCUAUUAUUCUGCAAAACCAUCCUACUGAAUGGGUGAGGGCAUUGCUCUGAAUUUUCAGAUUUCUUUCCCAAAACUCCCUCCAAGUACUUCUGGCCACCCAAGGAGACCUUGCUACAGGCAGAUCUAAAUCCCCCAAGGGUCUUAAACUCAAGGCCCCCUCUUUCCAUUUUCUAUUGCAAGUUUUAAUAGCACUGCACUUUCUUCAGUUAGCACUGAAUUAACACGCUCCCAUUCUUAUUUGUCAGUUAUGAAGUACUAAGUCUAAAAAAAUUACCCUAAACUACCCGCACAUCUGAUCUUCACAAGCCAUUUAAGCAUAAUCUCUGCAUUCAUCUUCCUAAUGACAGCCCCAUUUCUGUCCUCUUAAUAACAAUAAUCACUAACUCAAAGGUGUUAUUUGCCUUGAUUGUUUUGAAAUGGCUGCUUUUUGCCUUUCCUACUUAAUCUCUACAGCAAUUUUUCUUACUGGAAAGAAAAAACAGCAAAACCAUAUGGUAUUACAGGCAUCAGCACUGCCUGUAUUGUUGUGCAUUUUUAUUAAGAGCCUCAGGAAAACAUUAUUCUAUUUGAAAAAAUAUUUGAAACUAACCAUAAGCUGCAUACGCAAAUUUUAAAUAAAUACUCCGUGACAGAAGAGAUACUUUAAAAUGAAAUGUUUCUUAUCUUGUAGAUAAAAAGUAACAAGAAAUUUGCUGCUCCGCACAUGGUCCUGAAGGUCAGGAUACCAUCAGAGAACAAUCCAAUAAGCGCUAUCAUCUCACAACACAGUUUGAAUGAAAGAAGAGCAAAUUCUGC